rnacentral:rRNA from 1 species
ACGCUCGACACCUACUGGAGGCAGCAGUCGGGAAUAUUGCGCAAUGGAGGAAACUCUGACGCAGUGACGCCGCGUGCAGGAAGAAGGUUUUCGGAUUGUAAACUGCUUUAGACAGGGAAGAACAAAUGACAGUACCUGUAGAAUAAGCUCCGGCUAACUACGUGCCAGCACGCCGGACGGUAAUCUGAGGCGGGCGUGGACGAAGGC